GACGAACGCUGGCGGCGUGCUUAACACAUGCAAGUCGAACGGAAAGGCCCUGCUUUUGUGGGGUGCUCGAGUGGCGAACGGGUGAGUAACACGUGAGUAACCUGCCCUUGACUUUGGGAUAACUUCAGGAAACUGGGGCUAAUACCGGAUAGGAGCUCCUGCUGCAUGGUGGGGGUUGGAAAGUUUCGGCGGUUGGGGAUGGACUCGCGGCUUAUCAGCUUGUUGGUGGGGUAGUGGCUUACCAAGGCAUUGACGGGUAGCCGGCCUGAGAGGGUGACCGGCCACAUUGGGACUGAGAGACGGCCCAGACGCCUACGGGAGGCAGCAGGGGGGAAUAUUGCACAAUGGGCGGAAGCCUGAUGCAGCAACGCCGCGUGCGGGAUGACGGCCUUCGGGUUGUAAACCGCUUUCGCCUGUGACGAAGCGUGAGUGACGGUAAUGGGUAAAGAAGCACCGGCUAACUACGUG
rnacentral:rRNA from 1 species